rnacentral:lncRNA from 1 species
AUUCAUAGAUUCCAGACAUUGUAUAGAAGAACAUUGUGAAACUCCCUGUCCUGUUCUGUUUCUCUCUGACCACCGGUACAUGCAGCCCCUGUCAUGUACCGCCUGCUUGCUCAAAUCAAUCACGACCCUUUCAUGUGAAAUCUUUAGUGUUAUGAGCCCUUAAAAGGGACAGAAAUUGUGCAUUCGGGGAGCUUGGAUUUUAAGGCAGUACCUUGCCAAUGCUCCCAGCUGAAUAAAGCCCUUCCUUCUACAACUAGGUGUCUGAGAGGUUUUGUCUGCGACUCGUCCUGCUACAUUUCUUGGUUCCCUGACCAGGAAGCGAGGUGACUGACGGACGGCCGAGGCAGCCCCUUAGGUGGCUUAAGCCUGCCCUGUGGAGCAUCCCUGAGGGGGACUCUGGCCAGCCUGAGUGAUGUGGUCCGAAGAGCGCUUGGGUAGGAAAUUGCCCCUGUGGAAUGCCUCGUCAGAGCAGCGCAUAGCAGGCCCCCACGGAGGAUUAACACAGUGGCUGAACACUGGGAAGGAACUGGCCCUUGGAGUCCAGACAUCUGAAACUUGAUGCAGAAAGCAAUAUUUAACUGAUCAGCUGCCACUCACAUCAUGAAUCAGAAGCAGCCUUAAAAGAAAGGAUCCCUUCUUGCUAUUUUGAAGGGAAAUAACUGAGUCCUUUGGAGCUGAAAAUGAAAAACUGAGUAGCUGGUGGAAGAAGCGAGAUGGGUUUGGAACUCACAGGCUAUGUUUCUGGAUGCAUCACAUUUGCAAGAGGGAAGUUUUGGUGUCCCUGUGGGUAUAUUAGCACUCCUUUACUCCAUUUCUCUGUAGCUACUCAAGCAAGUGACAAGUAAGUAUGUUGAGACCACAUGUGACAUAUAAAUUACAAGUUCUCCUGCCCCUCUAAAAGUUUAUUCAGCAUCAACCUUUGCACCAACACACUAAGGCAUAAUAGCUGAUAAUUUAUGAGUGUAAUUUGAAGGAAGCAAUUCUGUUUUGUGAUUAUGGUAGUAAAUAAAAGAUUCAAAUCCUCAUUGACACACCAUGAAAUUCAGCUUUACUUUUUUUUUUUUAACCUUGAUAUUGUUUAUGGAAAGAAGGCUGCAGAGUCCAAGAAAGGUGACAGAUAUGAAGAAAUGCAGUGGUUGCAAAGGACAAAGACAAUGGCAACACAAAUAAAAGAAAUUAUGAGAAGGAAAUAAAUAUUAAAAAAAAAACCCAAACGUUUGUUGAUGUAAACUGAAAAUAAAUUUGGAAUGAGCUGUGUGCACUUGGAAAUGAGAAGCUCUGUCCUGCACCAUGAAGGGCUUUGUGUGCAUCCAUGGGUUGCUUCUGCAUGCAGAAUGAGACUGGAACAAAAAAGAACCAUUUAAAACACAGGAUCCAGGUGAUUCAGGAUUUUAAAUUGAAGAUUGAUCAUACAAGCUGGAAGACGUCCCAUGACACUUUAUUUGAAAUUGGAACAUCAGAAUUUGGUUGGGUCUAUCUUUUACUAACUCUGUACCAUGAAAAAAUUAUUUAAUAUUUCUGAACUGUGUAAAGAAUAAAAUUAGAUUAUGAAUUCAA